rnacentral:lncRNA from 12 species
CUUUAGAGGAAUGUCUUAAGUGAUUUUUCAUGGAAAAUUGACUAUGGCUUACACACUGGAUUUAGAACCUCCAUAUAUCAUGUGGCUCAAGUCCAUUUGCCUUUGUUUUAAUAUAAAUUCUUUCUAGUGGGAAUGUAAAAUGGUGGAAUCACUUUGGAAAAGCUUGGCAGUUUCUUAUAAAAUUAAACAUAGCCUUAACUUGAGACCUGGAAACACACAAAGACUUGCUCACAAAUGUUCAAGGUGGCUUUAUUCAUAAUGGUCCAAACAUGAAACAACUUAAAUGUUCAUUAGUAAGAGAAUGUUCUUAAGAAUUCUGCUACAUUUCGGGUGCCUGAGUGGCUCAGUCAGUUAAGCGUCCACUCUUGAUUUCGGCUCAGGUCAUGAUCUCAGGGUUGUGAGAUCAAGCCCACAUUGAGCUCCCACACCGGGCAUGGAGCCUGCUUAAGAUUCUCUUUCCCUCUCCCUCUGCCCCUUCACCCCCUCUCCAAAAAUUCUGCUAUGUUUAUACAAUGAAAUACUAUCUAACAAUGAGAAGGGAUAAACUGAUGCAUAAAACAACAUGGAUGAAUCUUAAGCCAUUUUGCUAAGCAAGAGAAGCCAGACACAAAAAGGAAAUACUCCAUGAUUCCAUUUAUAUGAACCCCUGAAAAAAGACAAAUCUAACUUGUAGUGACAGAAAGCAGAUCAGUGGUUUCCUAGGGCUAGAACGAGUAUUAACUGUGAAAGGACAUAAGGAAAAUAUGGAAGAUGAUGAAAAUGUUCUAUUUCUUGAUUGUGGUGGUGUUUAUAUAGGUGUAUACAUUUGCUAAAACUCGUGAACUGUGUGCUUAAAUUUUUUUUUACAUUGCUUCUAUCUCACAGGUCGGUUGUAAAGCUGGAAAGCAGUUUCCAAAUUAAAAAUACACAAUAUUUAAAGUACUUACCAUCAAGACUGAUGCCUUUGAAAGAUAUGCUAUGCUUAUCCCCGUGGCCCACACGCUGCUGGCAUCCCACAGCCUUUCCCUGUUUCAGAAACACGGACCUGGUGCUUACCUGUCUUUUCUCAAGUGAUAAAACCAAUGGCCAAGGAAGUGAUCCAGAGGAUCGGGAGAAUCUGGUAGAAGGA